UCAAUCUGCAAUAAGACGGCAUAUUGUUCUUUUAUCAUGCUUCGAAAUCUUUAAAUAUAGAUUCAAGGAUUCACUAAUAAUUAAAAUCAGCGAGAGAGCAAAUUAUUUUGAGGAAAAAAGGUGAAAAUAUUCAAAAACUAAUGUUACUCGUGAUAUUUCUUUCGAUAUUUGUUAAUUAUGACGGAAUUAAAUUUUUACGGAAUAUACAUUUCUCUAAAAUAUCGUAUAUCUCAUUUUUCUUAUUAAUUGGUUUAUUUCCUACGAAUAAAACUUUAUUUCGUAUUAAAUAAGAAUUUAGUUCUGUCAAAUAAACAGUAUGUAUUUAUAUUUCGAGCCUGACUUGGAAAAAGUGUCGGGAAACAUUCCGAAAAGCGAGCGAUUAUAAGUGAAUAAAAAAGCAAAUCGCGAGCGCGGCAUUCCUCCUCCUCUCUCCCUCAUCGCCGUCCCGAGUGUCGCCGUGUUGUUAUUUACACUUGAUUUGAACGGUCGCGCGUCCUGCUCUGCACGCCCUGAAGUCAGACGCAUAUUAGGUCUCGCGAGCGUGUCGCGAGAAAAAAGUGUAAACAGCGUAAGCAUCCCAAUCGGAUUAUUUACUGCGUCAAGAAAUGCUCCAACAAGAUGUUCGUGGAUGUUUUUUAGUAACUGUGCGGUUUUUGUACGUUCCGUGUACUUAUCGAUGCGGAGCAUCGAUACAAAGCGACUAAUGUGGACUUUGUUGUUAAACAGUUGGUACACUCGGCUCGCAACCGUGCGGGUACUCGAGUCGCCCCCGAAUACCGGCACGGUCGCGUUCGACAUCCGUUAUUGAUCGCGGAUCGAGAAGGUAAUUCGCCGAUAAGAGGCUCGUGGGGCCCCAGGAACGGUUUCAAGGAUCUUUCCAAGGAUCCUCCGGUGUCGUGGAAGUGAUCGCGGACGGCGCUCGCGUCCUGAUGGAACGAAACGGGCAUCGCGAAAUACGUCGCUGAAUUGCGUUUCGGGUAUUACGUCACAAGCGUCGAGUCGUGUGUAAAGGAGGCAUUUCGACGGGUAAAGGACGGAAAGGAGGCGUAUCGAAGAUGCGUGGCGAAAAGUGCGUAUCGAAAGCACGAAAGGUGAGAGAGGUAGCGUGAGGAAAAGUACUUGGAAGUGCCUCUAACGGAGUAACGACUUCGCAAAAAUUCCAUGGUACCUACGCGACGCGCGGGGAGUAAUGGCGGGUGGGUGGGGAAGGGGGAAAGCAACGUCUUUCUCGUCCGAUUACCGAGGAGCUUUCGAUGCCGUGGAAGUGGUCGCGGAUGGCGCUCGCGUCCUGGCGUUUAAACAAAACGAGCAUCGUGGAAUGCCGCAUUUGGGUAAUUGCGUCGCGUGUGGAGGGAGACGUGUUUCGUUCGGGUAGGUAAAGGACGGAAAGAAUAGACGGCCUGUCGAAGAUGCGUGGCGAAAAGUGUACGUAUGAAAAGCACAAGGUGGCGUGAUAAGUAUGUGGAAGUGUCUCUAACGGAGUAACGACUUCGCGAAAAUUCCCGAGGUAUCGUGACACGUGGCGCGAAUCGUAACGACGGACGAGCGGAGCAACGUCUUUUCCCGGUCGAUUUUCGAGGAUCUUUCGAUACCGUGGAAGUGGUCGCGUCCUGGCGAAACGAAACGAGCGUGCUACGAACGACGAUCGCGUCCCAGUGAAAUGAAACGACGUCGCGAAAUACCGCGUUUUAGCGGCAAGUGUGUGUGUGUGUGUGAGAGAUAAAUGUAAAAUAUCGAUACGUAGAAAAGAAAGAACGCAUGGCGAAAAGUGCAUAAUCGAAAGCACGAAGUGAGAAAAGUGUGAUAAAAAGUGCUUGGAAGUGCCAUAAUGGAUUACUCAAGAAAAUGUGAGCAGUAAUGGAAGCGACCGAGGAGAGCAACGACGUGGUCAUCGAAAUAUUAACAUUGCGGGAUCUGAGAGGAGAAGGAGGCCUGGGAGAGACAUCUGGCCCCAGCGGAGCAACCUUGGGUAAUCACCGUAGCAUCGUAGCUGUAUAACUCCGCUCGUUGCGCAUCGGGUCGGUGAGUCAAAAAUCAAAUUUCUUAUUAUACUUGUAUUUCAUUACUUAGUAAAUAUCCUGCGCAAGAUCAAAAGUAGGGACAAUGAAAGAAAGAGUUUGGUAAUACCUGCCAAAUA